GUUUGUGACUGAUUCUUCAUUAUUUGGGCCUUCUUGUAAAUUCGGCAUGUGUUAGCUCGUUGUGGGUCGUGCUGCAGCUCUCAGUCUAACAGGAAGACUCCCAGUCAGUCACACGCCUCUCUGGCUGUUUCCUCCUCACAGUUUACUUUCACUUUCUCUGACAGGUGUGUUGCAGAUAGUUUUCUCCGUCUGAACCUCCAGCUGAAGAUGAAAGUGUGUGUGAGUUGAGCAGCAUGAAUCAGUGUGAGGACAGAGAGGAGGGAGGCCCUCCCUCUAAAACCACUGGACCUGGACCUGGACCUGGACCUGGACCUGAACCUGGACCUGGACCUGGACCUGGACCUGAGCCCAGCUGUGUGUCCUUCAAGAGUGACCAGUCAUUAGAUCUUUUCAAUAAUUUUAAAGGACAACCAGCUCCUCCUGUAAAGAGGAGACCAGCCUCUACUGGACCUGGACCUGGACCUGGACCUGAACAGGAACAUGGACCUGAGCCCAGCUGUGUGUCCUUCAAGAGUGACGAGUCAAUAGAUUGCUUCAUUCAUUUUAAAGGACAACAACCUCCUGCUGUAAAGAGGUGAGCUGUUACAUUUAAAUAUAACUGAUUCAUGCUUUUUACACCAGAUCCUGCUUGUCCCGAUCAAU
rnacentral:lncRNA from 1 species